UGCCUAGCAACUCCUAUCUCUACUUCCUCGUGGUACCAGCCGGAAACUAUGAGCAACCUUAGGGAAGG
rnacentral:ribozyme from 1 species